rnacentral:lncRNA from 1 species
UGAUUGUUGUUUAUUGAGAGUUGCGUCUAUGUGUUUCAAUAGAGGAAGUCUGUGAUUACAGGAAUUCUGUGAAUUUAGAUUGGUUAGAGUGAAGUCUGUUAUUCCUGGUAUUGGAUGGAAUUUAUUGAAUUUUGAGCGGUCUUUUGAGAGUGCAGGGUUGCACAUUGUGGUUAUCAGUUGAUGAAGAAGUAUUGUUAUUGGGACGAAGCAUUGUAGUGUUUCUUA